rnacentral:lncRNA from 1 species
UUUUGUAGACCAUUAAAUAUACCAAAUAAUCAAAACUCUAUAUACAUAUAAUUAAAAUACAUAAUAUAUAUUAUUAUAUAUAAUUAAAAAUAUAUUAUAUAUAACUUUAUAUUAUUUAUAAAUAUUUUUUAAUAUAUGUAUAUUUAAGCUUUUCGAGCCUAAUUAGAACGAGCCCAGUAAUACUCAAGCUCGGCUUAAAAUAAAUUUUAAUUUUUU